rnacentral:rRNA from 1 species
UAAAAGUCGUAACAAGGUCUCCGUUGGUGAACCAGCGGAGGGAUCAUUACCGAGUUUACAACUCCCAAACCCCUGUGAACAUACCAAUUGUUGCCUCGGCGGAUCAGCCCGCUCCCGGUAAAACGGAACGGCCCGCCAGAGGACCCCUAAACUCUGUUUCUAUAUGUAACUUCUGAGUAAAACCAUAAAUAAAUCAAAACUUUCAACAACGGAUCUCUUGGUUCUGGCAUCGAUGAAGAACGCAGCAAAAUGCGAUAAGUAAUGUGAAUUGCAGAAUUCAGUGAAUCAUCGAAUCUUUGAACGCACAUUGCGCCCGCCAGUAUUCUGGCGGGCAUGCCUGUUCGAGCGUCAUUUCAACCCUCAAGCCCCCGGGUUUGGUGUUGGGGAUCGGCGAGCCUCACGGCAAGCCGGCCCCGAAAUACAGUGGCGGUCUCGCUGCAGCUUCCAUUGCGUAGUAGUAAAACCCUCGCAACUGGUACGCGGCGCGGCCAAGCCGUUAAACCCCCAACUUCUGAAUGUUGACCUCGGAUCAGGUAGGAAUACCCGCUGAACUUAAGCAUAUCAAUAAGCGG